rnacentral:rRNA from 1 species
AGUGAACGCUGGCGGUAGGCCUAACACAUGCAAGUCGAACGGCAGCACAGUAAGAGCUUGCUCUUACGGGUGGCGAGUGGCGGACGGGUGAGGAAUACACCGGAAUCUACUUUUUCGUGGGGGAUAACGUAGGGAAACUUACGCUAAUACCGCAUACGACCUACGGGUGAAAGCAGGGGAUCUUCGGACCUUGCGCGAUUGAAUGAGCCGAUGUCGGAUUAGCUAGUUGGAGGGGUAAAGGCCACCAAGGCGACGAACCGUAGCUGGUCUGAGAGGAUGAUCAGCCACACUGGAACUGAGACACGGUCCAGACUCCUACGGGAGGCAGCAGUGGGGAAUAUUGGACAAUGGGCGAAAGCCUGACCCAGCCAUACCGCGUGGGUGAAGAAGGCCUUCGGGUUGUAAAGCCCUUUUGUUGGGAAAGAAAAGCAGCAGGUUAAUACCCCGCUGUUCUGACGGUACCCAAAGAAUAAGCACCGGCUAACUUCGUG